rnacentral:SRP_RNA from 1 species
UGCCGGACCCUAUGCGCCGGCAGUUCGUUAACCGAGUCAGAUGGGGAACCAAGCAGCUCUACACGAAACUGCCGGGCGCCGUAGGUGCUUCUGGUUGCC